rnacentral:lncRNA from 1 species
CUCCUAUACUUCAUUAUGCGUGUCUUCCAAUGCUAUGUUUUAGAGUUGUUUCCAUGGCAACAUAAGCUAUUCCUUUGUUAGCUUCUCCUUCCCCAGCCAAUAAUUUCGACACUUCCAUUCUUUAUUCGUUUAGAGGUGCAAUUUGGAAUGGGCAGCUUAGGAAAUAAGAGACCAGAUAUGCUAUACAUAUACAUGCAACUGAAGUUUUAUAUAUUAUUUCAAUUACUAGUUCAGACUCU